GGCUUAAUUUUAAGGAAGAAACAGAAUGCUGUUAAUCUUCAAGGAAAUGUCAGCAUUGUAAGCACAGAGACUACUUGAUACUUUUCCAAUUUCAAGUCAAGAAUUUUGGAGGGACAAACCUAAAACUAAGUUUGCUUGAAAACCACAACAAAGAAGGGGCAAUCUCAAGUUAUGGAUGGCUGCCAUAGUGAAAUAAAACACUACUCCUCAUUGACCUUCUGGAAUAGUUUUAACUUAAAGGUCUUCAGGCAUUCUCCAUGACAUGGAAACAGCCAGUAAGCACCUUGACACAGUGCAAGGACCUGUCUUGGUAUUCAGUAUUGGUCAUCCCUAAUUUGUGCUAAACAAAACUUCAUAUGUGACCCCAGUGUAAUGAACAGAGCAAACCCAGAACUAUAGUUUGGAGUGGAGUGAGCUGCUCCAUUUCCAAGGUUCCUGGUUUUCUCUGUGUAAAAAUCACAAAUUCUCUGAUAAAAUUGCAAAUUCUCUAAUUAAAAA